rnacentral:rRNA from 1 species
GACGAACGCUGGCGGCGUGCCUAAUACAUGCAAGUAGAACGCUGAAGGAGGAGCUUGCUUCUCUGGAUGAGUUGCGAACGGGUGAGUAACGCGUAGGUAACCUGCCUGGUAGCGGGGGAUAACUAUUGGAAACGAUAGCUAAUACCGCAUAAUAGUAGAUGUUGCAUGACAUUUGCUUAAAAGGUGCAAUUGCAUCACUACCAGAUGGACCUGCGUUGUAUUAGCUAGUUGGUGGGGUAACGGCUCACCAAGGCGACGAUACAUAGCCGACCUGAGAGGGGGGUCGGCCGCACUGAGACGGAGACACGGCCCAGACUGCUACAGGAAGGAGCAGUAGGGAUACGGCGGCCAUGGACGGAAGUCUGACCGAGCAACGCCGCGUGAGUGAAGAGGGUUUUCGGGUCGUAGAGCUCUGUUGUAAGGGAAGAACGAGCGUGAGAGUGGAAAGUUCCCUCUGUGACGGUAUCUUACCAGAAAGCGACGGCUAACUACGUG